CCCCUGCCACAACGGCUUCCUGGCGUGGCAGGGUUAACCCAACGGAGCA
rnacentral:ncRNA from 2 species